CUUUGUUUCUUUGGAGGCGGGUGGAUAGAAGCAUUUCAAACAAUCAGCCACACAGAGAAAGUGACGAGUUCCUCCUGGAAUACUGAUGUCGGACAUUGUUGUACCGGUCAUCUGAAAUUCAUUUUUAAAUUUUGGGAGCAAGGCGGAUUGUGGAAUCAGGGGAGACAGAGACCUACCUCCUCAUGAUUCUUCUUGAGGUCAUCAAUUAUUGGGAAGUAUCUGCUGUAAUCAUGAUCAAGACCACGGCAAGAACCAGGCCCGAAUUUCUCGUACCAGCCCUUGAUCUUCUGCUCCAGGUCAGCGUUGGCCUCCUCUAGUGCUCGCACAUUUUCCAGUUUAAAAUCAAUGGACUAUAAGCUUGAUAAAGCUCCUUCGCCUGAUGUGUAAGUUUCUUCUUGAGGUGGGAGCCAAGACACAAUCAAGCCAAAGAAGAGGAAAAGAAAGGGUUAAUUACUUGCAAUAAGCCAGGAAAACACCAUGGAUAUUUCCAGACAACAAAAUUAGGGAAGUUUUAAGGAAAGUGCCCCACCAUGAGAAGAAACACCCGGAAG